rnacentral:rRNA from 1 species
GUUUCAGCAGCCGCGGUAAUACGGAGGGUGCGAGCGUUGUCCGGAAUCACUGGGCGUAAAGGGCGCGUAGGUGGCCGAGCAAGGUUGCGGUGAAAGCCCGGGGCUCAACCCCGGGUCGGCCGUGGCAACUACUCGGCUUGAGCACUGUAGGGGCGGGUGGAAUUCCGGGUGUAGCGGUGGAAUGCGUAGAGAUCCGGAAGAACACCGGUGGCGAAGGCGGCCCGCUGGGCAGGAAGACGGAGCAAUCCGUCGGCUGACACUGAGGCGCGACAGCGUGGGGAGCAAACAGGAUUAGAUACCCCCGUAGUCC